UUAAGCUGUAAAGAGCGCAGGGAGGAUGCCUUGGCACUAAGAGCCGAUGAAAGACGUGAUAAGCUGCGAAAAGCUGCGGUGAGGAGCAAAUAUCCAUUGACCCGCAGAUGUCUGAAUGGGGAAACCCGGCUGAGCAAACCUCAGUCACCGUAUACUGAAUCCAUAGGUAUACGGAGGGAACCCGGUGAACUGAAACAUCUAAGUAGCCGGAGGAAGAGAAAGAAAAUUUGUCGAUUUCCUAAGUAGCGGCGAGCGAACGGGAAAGAGCCCAAACCGGAGUGCGUGCAUUCCGGGGUUCGGACUGCAUAAUCCACAACCAAGCCUAACAGAACGGUCCUGGGAAGACCGGCCAGAGAGGGUGAAAGCCCCGUACGUGAAAGGCAAGGAAGGGAGGCAGGAUCCAGAGUACCACGAGACACGAGAAAUCUUGUGGGAAUGAGCGGGGACCACCCCGUAAGGCUAAAUACUCCUUAGUGACCGAUAGCGCAUAGUACUGUGAAGGAAAGGUGAAAAGGACCCCGGGAGGGGAGUGAAAGAGAACCUGAAACCCUGUGUUUACAAGCUGUGGAAGUAUCGAAAGGGUACAACCGCGUACUUUUUGUAGAACGGUCCGGCGAGUUACGUCGGCUGGCGAGGUUAAGCACUAUAGGUGUGGAGCCGAAGGGAAACCAAGUCUUAAUAGGGCGUCCAGUCAGCCGGAGUAGACCCGAAACCGGGUGAUCUAUCCAUGUCCAGGAUGAAGUUGCCGUAAAAGGCAAUGGAGGUCCGAACGCACAUCUGUUGAAAAAGGUGGCGAUGAGGUGUGGAUAGGGGAGAAAUUCCAAUCGAACCCGGAGAUAGCUGGUUCUCCUCGAAAUAGCUUUAGGGCUAGCCCUGUGACAGUCAGACGGAGGUAGAGCACUGAAUUUCCUAGGGGGCGUCAAAGUCUACCGAAGAAUAUCAAACUCCGAAUGCCGCAUAAAUGAUGUACGGGAGUCAGACUGCACGAGAUAAGUUGGGUAGUCAAAAGGGAAAGAGCCCAGACCUACAGCUAAGGUCCCAAAGUGCGUGUUAAGUGGAAAAGGAUGUGGGAUUUCGAAGACAACUAGGAUGUUGGCUCAGAAGCAGCCAUACAUUCAAAGAGUGCGUAAUAGCUCACUAGUCGAGAGGUCCUGCGCCGAAAAUGUCCGGGGCUAAAACACGACACCGAAGCUUAGGAAUACAUGGAAAUGUAUUGGUAGAGGAGCAAUCUUAACGGGAAGAAGCAGUACUGUAAGGUGCUGUGGACUGUUAAGAAGAGAGAAUGCCGGAAUGAGUAGCGAGAUGGAGGUGGGAAUCCUCCAGGCCGAAUAUCCAAGGUUUCCAGGGUAAAGCUGAUCUGCCCUGGGGAAGUCGGGGCCUAAGGCGAGGUCGAAAGACGUAGCUGAUGGACAACAGGUUGAUAUUCCUGUACUAUCAUAUGACAGAACUGUGGGGACGCAGAAAGAGAGCCUGAGCCGGGAAAGGGAAAACCGGUGCAAGCGGGGUAGGAGUCGUGUAGGCAAAUCCGCACGGCAAUCCGAAGACGUGAUGCGGAGCGAACUAAAGUAGCGAAGCAGGUGAGCUGGCUGCCAAGAAAAGCCGCUAUUGUUCAUAUGAUACCCGUACCGUAAACCGACACAGGUGGAUGAGGAGAGAAUCCUAAGGCCGGCGGGAGAAGCAUUGUUAAGGAACUCGGCAAAAUGACCCCGUAACUUCGGGAGAAGGGGUGCCUGCGAGAGCAGGCCGCAGAGAAUAGGCUCAAGCAACUGUUUAGCAAAAACACAGGUCUAUGCGAAACCGAAAGGUGAGGUAUAUGGGCUGACGCCUGCCCGGUGCUGGAAGGUUAAGAGGAGAGGUUAGCGCAAGCGAAGCUUUGAAUUUAAGCCCCAGUAAACGGCGGCCGUAACUAUAACGGUCCUAAGGUAGCGAAAUUCCUUGUC
rnacentral:rRNA from 1 species